rnacentral:rRNA from 1 species
AGAACGAACGCUGGCGGCAUGCCUAACACAUGCAAGUCGAACGAGACCUUCGGGUCUAGUGGCGCACGGGUGCGUAACGCGUGGGAAUCUGCCCUUGGGUACGGAAUAACAGUUAGAAAUGACUGCUAAUACCGUAUAAUGACUUCGGUCCAAAGAUUUAUCGCCCAGGGAUGAGCCCGCGUAGGAUUAGCUUGUUGGUGAGGUAAAAGCUCACCAAGGCGACGAUCCUUAGCUGGUCUGAGAGGAUGAUCAGCCACACUGGGACUGAGACACGGCCCAGACUCCUACGGGAGGCAGCAGUGGGGAAUAUUGGACAAUGGGCGAAAGCCUGAUCCAGCAAUGCCGCGUGAGUGAUGAAGGCCUUAGGUUGUAAAGCUCCUUUGCCCGGGAUGAUAAUGACAGUACCGGAGAAUAAGCUCCGGCUAACUCCGUGCCAGCAGCCGC